UUCCAAGGAAUUCCAGUUUUGCGCUGGAAUGUUUGAAAUGCAACCCUGGCGCAUAAGUGUGCGCAAGCGCACAUGAUUUAAACUAUGUAGCAUCAAAAACAACAGCCAAAUCGGAGCGAUUGAAUUUGGCACAAAAGUUUUCAAGUGGAGCACGUCACUUACCCGUAAAAGGAGGCAGGAUUCGCAGGAUAUGUAGAAUGGUGGCUAACUAGGAGACGAAGAGGCACGGCAACUUGUCGGAUGGUUAUGUGAGUGUGUGUGGCUUGAAUGUAAACUGGCAAUUUGCACAAUAAAAAUAGAAAAAAUAACUAUAUAGUAACGAACG